rnacentral:rRNA from 1 species
AGCUUGCUGGGUGGAUUAGUGGCGAACGGGUGAGUAACACGUGAGUAACCUGCCCUUAACUCUGGGAUAAGCCUGGGAAACUGGGUCUAAUACCGGAUAGGAGCGUCCACCGCAUGGUGGGUGUUGGAAAGAUUUAUCGGUUUUGGAUGGACUCGCGGCCUAUCAGCUUGUUGGUGAGGUAAUGGCUCACCAAGGCGACGACGGGUAGCCGGCCUGAGAGGGUGACCGGCCACACUGGGACUGAGACACGGCCCAGACUCCUACGGGAGGCAGCAGUGGGGAAUAUUGCACAAUGGGCGAAAGCCUGAUGCAGCGACGCCGCGUGAGGGAUGACGGCCUUCGGGUUGUAAACCUCUUUCAGUAGGGAAGAAGCGAAAGUGACGGUACCUGCAGAAGAAGCACCGGCUAACUACGUGCCAGCAGCCGCGGUAAUACGUAGGGUGCGAGCGUUAUCCGGAAUUAUUGGGCGUAAAGAGCUCGUAGGCGGUUUGUCGCGUCUGUCGUGAAAGUCCGGGGCUUAACCCCGGAUCUGCGGUGGGUACGGGCAGACUAGAGUGCAGUAGGGGAGACUGGAAUUCCUGGUGUAGCGGUGGAAUGCGCAGAUAUCAGGAGGAACACCGAUGGCGAAGGCAGGUCUCUGGGCUGUAACUGACGCUGAGGAGCGAAAGCAUGGGGAGCGAACAGGAUUAGAUACCCUGGUAGUCCAUGCCGUAAACGUUGGGCACUAGGUGUGGGGACCAUUCCACGGUUUCCGCGCCGCAGCUAACGCAUUAAGUGCCCCGCCUGGGGAGUACGGCCGCAAGGCUAAAACUCAAAGGAAUUGACGGGGGCCCGCACAAGCGGCGGAGCAUGCGGAUUAAUUCGAUGCAACGCGAAGAACCUUACCAAGGCUUGACAUGUUCUCGAUCGCCGUAGAGAUACGGUUUCCCCUUUGGGGCGGGUUCACAGGUGGUGCAUGGUUGUCGUCAGCUCGUGUCGUGAGAUGUUGGGUUAAGUCCCGCAACGAGCGCAACCCUCGUUCCAUGUUGCCGGCACGUCAUGGUGGGGACUCAUGGGAGACUGCCGGGGUCAACUCGGAGGAAGGUGAGGACGACGUCAAAUCAUCAUGCCCCUUAUGUCUUGGGCUUCACGCAUGCUACAAUGGCCGGGACAAUGGGUUGCCAUACUGGGAGGGGGA